UCGAGAAUCUUCCGCAAUGGACGAAAGUCUGACGGAGCGACGCCGCGUGGUGGAUGAAGUCCCUCGGGACGUAAACACCUUUUAUGAGGGAGGAAAUUUUGACGUUACCUCAUGAAUAAGGGGCUCCUAACUCUGUGCCAGCAGGAGCGGUAAUACAGAGGCCCCAAGCAUUAUCCGGAUUUACUGGGCGUAAAGGGUGCGUAGGCGGUUAGAUUAGUCAGGUGUCAAAUCCUCGGGCUCAACCCGAGACUCGCAUUUGAAACGGUCUAACUAGAAUGAGUCAGAGGCAAGCAGAACUCACGGUGUAGGGGUGAAAUCCGUUGAUAUCGUGGGGAAUACCAAAUGCGAAGGCAGCUUGCUGGGACUUUAUUGACGCUGAGGCACGAAAGCGUGGGUAGCG
rnacentral:rRNA from 1 species